GACGAACGCUGGCGGCGUGCCUAAUACAUGCAAGUUGAGCGCUGAAGGUUGGUACUUGUACCAACUGGAUGAGCAGCGAACGGGUGAGUAACGCGUGGGUAAUCUGCCUUUGAGCGUGGGACAACAUUUGGAAACGAAUGCUAAUACCGCAUAAAAACUUUAAACACAAGUUUUAAGUUUGAAAGAUGCAAUUGCAUCACUCAAAGAUGAUCCCGCGUUGUAUUAGCUAGUUGGUGGGGUAAAGGCUCACCAAGGCGAUGAUACAUAGCCGACCUGAGAGGGUGGUCGGCCACAAUGGGACUGGGAAACGGCCCCAACCCCUACGGGAGGCAGCAGUAGGGAAUCUUCGGGAAUGGACGAAAGUCUGAACGAGCAACGCCGGGUGAGUGAAGAAGGUUCUCGGAUCGUAAAACUCUGUUGGUAGAGAAGAAAGUUGGUGAGAGUGGAAAGCUCAUCAAGUGACGGUAACUAACCAGAAAGGGACGGCUAACUACGUG
rnacentral:rRNA from 1 species